rnacentral:rRNA from 1 species
CGGAACUUUGUGAAAUCAUGCCUGUAAGACUGGGAUAACUCCGGGAAACCGGAGCUAAUACCGGAUAGUUCCUUGAACCGCAUGGUUCAAGGAUGAAAGACGGUUUCGGCUGUCACUUACAGAUGGACCCGCGGCGCAUUAGCUAGUUGGUGGGGUAAUGGCUCACCAAGGCGACGAUGCGUAGCCGACCUGAGAGGGUGAUCGGCCACACUGGGACUGAGACACGGCCCAGACUCCUACGGGAGGCAGCAGUAGGGAAUCUUCCGCAAUGGACGAAAGUCUGANCGGAGCAACGCCGCGUGAGUGAUGAAGGUUUUCGGAUCGUAAAGCUCUGUUGUUAGGGAAGAACAAGUGCGAGAGUAACUGCUCGCACCUUGACGGUACCUAACCAGAAAGCCACGGCUAACUACGUGCCAGCAGCCGCGGUAAUACGUAGGUGGCAAGCGUUGUCAGGAAUUAUUGGGCGUAAAGGGCUCGCAGGCGGUUUCUUAAGUCUGAUGUAAAAGCCCCCGGCUCAACCGGGGAGGGUCAUUGGAAACUGGGAAACUUGAGUGCAGAAGAGGAGAGUGGAAUUCCACGUGUAGCGGUGAAAUGCGUAGAGAUGUGGAGGAACACCAGUGGCGAAGGCGACUCUCUGGUCUGUAACUGACGCUGAGGAGCGAAAGCGUGGGGAGCGAACAGGAUUAGAUACCCUGGUAGUCCACGCCGUAAACGAUGAGUGCUAAGUGUUAGGGGGUUUCCGCCCCUUAGUGCUGCAGCUAACGCAUUAAGCACUCCGCCUGGGGAGUACGGUCGCAAGACUGAAACUCAAAGGAAUUGACGGGGGCCCGCACAAGCGGUGGAGCAUGUGGUUUAAUUCGAAGCAACGCGAAGAACCUUACCAGGUCUUGACAUCCUCUGACAACCCUAGAGAUAGGGCUUUCCCUUCGGGGACAGAGUGACAGGUGGUGCAUGGUUGUCGUCAGCUCGUGUCGUGAGAUGUUGGGUUAAGUCCCGCAACGAGCGCAACCCUUGAUCUUAGUUGCCAGCAUUUAGUUGGGCACUCUAAGGUGACUGCCGGUGACAAACCGGAGGAAGGUGGGGAUGACGUCAAAUCAUCAUGCCCCUUAUGACCU